rnacentral:rRNA from 1 species
UACAGAGGUCCCAAGCGUUGUUCGGAUUCACUGGGCGUAAAGGGUGCGUAGGUGGUGAGGUAAGUCGGAUGUGAAAUCUCCGAGCUCAACUCGGAAAUGGCAUUGGAAACUACCUUGCUCGAGGGUUGGAGGGGGACUGGAAUGCUUGGUGUAGCAGUGAAAUGCGUAGAUAUCAGCGGAACACCAGUGGCGAAGGCGAGUCCC